ACAUACGACCAUCGGAAGCUGGCAGCAGGAAUCCCCGUCAGAUCAUUCGUACUUAAGCAGUUUACCGGCGGACUAGUAGUCAGGUGGGUGACCACUGGCGAAUCCCCGCUAUUGUAUGUU
rfam:Cochliobolus sativus ND90Pr unplaced genomic scaffold COCSAscaffold_12, whole genome shotgun sequence.